UAGGGAAUCUUCGGCAAUGGACGAAAGUCUGACCGAGCAACGCCGCGUGAGUGAAGAAGGUUUUCGGAUCGUAAAACUCUGUUGGUAGAGAAGAACGUUGGUGAGAGUGGAAAGUUCAUCAAGUGACGGUAACUACCCAGAAAGGGACGGCUAACUACGUGCCAG
rnacentral:rRNA from 1 species